AACCAACGCUGGCGGCGUGCCUAAUACAUGCAAGUCGAACGGGGAAAGUAGCAAUAUGAGUACUAGUGGCGCACGGGUGAGUAACGCGUGGAUAAUCUGCCUUGAAGAGGGGGAUAACUAGUCGAAAGAUUAGCUAAUACCGCAUAAGACCACAAGAACUGAGGUUCAAGGGGUCAAAGGUUUUUCGCUUCAAGAUGAGUCCGCGUAAGAUUAGCUAGUUGGUGAGGUAAUGGCUCACCAAGGCAACGAUCUUUAACUGGUCUGAGAGGAUGAUCAGUCACACUGGAACUGAGACACGGUCCAGACUCCUACGGGAGGCAGCAGUAGGGAAUAUUGCACAAUGGAGGAAACUCUGAUGCAGCGACGCCGCGUGAGUGAUGAAGGCCUUCGGGUCGUAAAGCUCUGUCGCAGGGGAAUAACACAAUGAAUGUACCCUGUAAGAAAGGAUCGGCUAACUUCGUG
rnacentral:rRNA from 1 species